rnacentral:rRNA from 1 species
GAUGAACGCUGGCGGCGUGCUUAACACAUGCAAGUCGAACGAUGAAGCCCAGCUUGCUGGGUGGAUUCGUGGCGAACGGGUGAGUAACACGUGAGUAACCUGCCCUUCACUCUGGGAUAAGCCUGGUCAACUGGGUCUAAUACCGGAUAGGAGCGUCCACCGCCUGGAGGGUGUUGGAAAGAUUUAUCGGUUUUGGAUGGACUCGCGGCCUAUCAGCUGGUUGGUGAGGUAAUGGCUCACCAAGGCGACGACGGGUAGCCGGCCUGAGAGGGUGACCGGCCACACUGGGACUGAGACACGGCCCAGACUCCUACGGGAGGCAGCAGUGGGGAAUAUUGCACAAUGGGCGCAAGCCUGAUGCAGCGACGCCGCGUGAGGGAUGACGGCCUUCGGGUUGUAAACCUCUUUCAGUAGGGAAGAAGCGAAAGUGACGGUACCUGCAGAAGAAGCACCGGCUAACUACGUG